AAACAACGUAGUCUUGUCCUCUUUACUGCACCUCAGCACAGUCCAGUGAUGCAACGUUGCUUCUCCCCCUGCUUUAUCUUAUGAGAAAAGUGAGGCGAAGAGAUUCCAUGACAAAGCCUGCAACCAAAGUUAAGAAGGGGAGCAAUCAGGAUGAGGAAGACAAGCUGUACGAGACUACUGGCUACAGGGCUGAGUAAUGCAACGUCAGAUGGAUAAAGUGUGAACGAUGACACACAGCUACCUCAGGUACUGGGAGAAAGCUUGAAGCGUGCAGAUUUGUUAAGCACCCAGUCCCUCCUGAACAGUACAGUGAGUACAGACAGUGGAAAGAACCGUGGCUAUAGUUGGCUGUCUUUCCGUGCACAGCGUGACUUGCUGUGUUGCCCAUGAAGCAAGGCAAGUACCUUUAGCAACAUUACAGUGGUCCC
rnacentral:lncRNA from 1 species